GGUCCGAUGGUGUAGUUGGUUAUCACAUCUGCUUCACAAUCCGGCUAUCUAUAUGGUAACCGAAUGUGCCAUCGCAGGCGGUCCUCGGUUCGAGCCCGGGUCGGAUCA